GGGCGGUCUCCUCCCAAAGCGUAACGGAGGAGCACGAAGGUUAGCUAAUCCUGGUCGGACAUCAGGAGGUUAGUGCAAUGGCAUAAGCUAGCUUGACUGCGAGCGUGACGGCGCGAGCAGGUGCGAAAGCAGGUCAUAGUGAUCCGGUGGUUCUGAAUGGAAGGGCCAUCGCUCAACGGAUAAAAGGUACUCCGGGGAUAACAGGCUGAUACCGCCCAAGAGUUCAUAUCGACGGCGGUGUUUGGCACCUCGAUGUCGGCUCAUCACAUCCUGGGGCUGAAGUAGGUCCCAAGGGUAUGGCUGUUCGCCAUUUAAAGUGGUACGCGAGCUGGGUUUAGAACGUCGUGAGACAGUUCGGUCCCUAUCUGCCGUGGGCGCUGGAGAAUUGAGGGGGGCUGCUCCUAGUACGAGAGGACCGGAGUGGACGCAUCACUGGUGUUCGGGUUGUCAUGCCAAUGGCACUGCCCGGUA
rnacentral:rRNA from 1 species